AGAUGACCUUUCUUCGGACCUCCCGCACAGGUGCUGCAUGGCUGUCGUCAGCUCGUGUCGUGAGAUGUUGGGUUAAGUCCCGCAACGAGCGCAACCCUUGUCUUUAGUUGCCAGCACUUUCAGGUGGGCACUCUAGAGAGACUGCCGGUGACAAGCCGGAGGAAGGUGGGGAUGACGUCAAGUCCUCAUGGCCCUUAUGUCCUGGGCUACACACGUGCUACAAUGGCGGUGACAGUGGGAAGCUACAUGGUGACAUGGUGCUGAUCUCUAAAAGCCGUCUCAGUUCGGAUUGUACUCUGCAACUCGAGUACAUGAAGGUGGAAUCGCUAGUAAUCGCGGAUCAGCAUGCCGCGGUGAAUACUUC
rnacentral:rRNA from 1 species